GAUGAACGCUGGCGGCGUGCCUAAUACAUGCAAGUCGAGCGAGAAGCUUGGAAAUGACGCUUCGGUUGAUUUUCCAAGCGGACAGCGGCGGACGGGUGAGUAACGCGUAGGCAACCUGCCCCUGACAGAGGGAUAGCCAUUGGAAACGAUGAUUAAAACCUCAUGACACCGUAGUAGCACAUGCUACAUCGGUCAAAGAUUUAUCGGUCAGGGAUGGGCCUGCGUCUGAUUAACUGGUUGGUGAGGUAACGGCUCACCAAGGUGACGAUCAGUAGCCGACCUGAGAGGGUGAUCGGCCACAUUGGAACUGAGACACGGUCCAAACUUCUACGGAAGGCAGCAGUAGGGAAUCUUGCACAAUGGGCGAAAGCCUGAUGCAGCAACGCCGCGUGAAGGAUGAAGGCCUUCGGGUUGUAAACUUCUGUUCUAAGGGAAGAAAGAAAUGACGG
rnacentral:rRNA from 1 species